UUCCGUUACGUGUUUUGACCUAAACAUGUAUAAGAUUGUAUUUAACGGCUAAACACUUAGGUCUAAACAUGUGUUAGAUUGUGUUUAACGUCUAAACACUUAGGUCUAAACGUGUGUUAUAUCUAAAUGAUGUUAAGAUUUAACACAUGUUUAGAUAUAAGUGUUUAGAAAUUGAACACUUUUCUGUGAAGUGCAGAGUUAUCUUCCCGGAAAUGACGCAUAUAUAUUCGAAUGAUAAAUAGAGCGGUUAUCGAAACAAAGGAAAUCCCAAUGUUAGCUAAAGAAGAUGGAUUAAAGGAAGUGAAUGCUAAUCAAAGUGAUAACCAUGAAGAGAUUGUGAAAUGCAUUUAAACUGCAACAUUACUGCGAUAAAAGGAUAUGGUCCACAUCGAACUUGAAAGCAAAAAUACACGUAUCAGAGAAACUGUUGCCAUAUCCAAGUCCACAAUGGCAUACCAUCGUUCUUACAUUUUUCAACACUUCUUACUUUCUAGGGGAAACUGAGUUUUGUGAAGUCUGCUGUUCGUUAUAGCUUUGAACAACCUAAAAAUAUUCUCAAAUAAUGACAGUGGAUUACCUACUGACGGUCACAGAUGAAAACAAAUUAUGCGUGUGUUGCUCAGUGAAUAUUGCUGGAAGUUAAACUUGAUACAGACAUGAAAAAUAACUGCUUGCUAAUCUGGUUAGAAUUAAAACCAGCGUGUAAAAAUAUAAUGUAUAUUUAAUUUAAAAUUCUUUAUAAAAAAUCCAUGUUUGAAUGUUCAUUGAAUAAAAUUUAAAAUGUAAACAA